rnacentral:rRNA from 1 species
AUUGAACGCUGGCGGCAGGCCUAACACAUGCAAGUCGAGCGGAUGAAGGGAGCUUGCUCCUGGAUUCAGCGGCGGACGGGUGAGUAAUGCCUAGGAAUCUGCCUGGUAGUGGGGGAUAACGUCCGGAAACGGGCGCUAAUACCGCAUACGUCCUGAGGGAGAAAGUGGGGGAUCUUCGGACCUCACGCUAUCAGAUGAGCCUAGGUCGGAUUAGCUAGUUGGUGGGGUAAAGGCCUACCAAGGCGACGAUCCGUAACUGGUCUGAGAGGAUGAUCAGUCACACUGGAACUGAGGCACGGUCCAGACCCCUACGGGAGGCAGCAGUGGGGAAUAUUGGACAAUGGGCGAAAGCCUGAUCCAGCCAUGCCGCGUGUGUGAAGAAGGUCUUCGGAUUGUAAAGCACUUUAAGUUGGGAGGAAGGGCAGUAAGUUAAUACCUUGCUGUUUUGACGUUACCAACAGAAUAAGCACCGGCUAACUUCGUG